AGCUCAACUUGAGAAGUUACUCGUACAUGGAAACAUACCUUUUCCUGUGUACUUCGCAUUUGAGAAUGAAGAGACUGAUGCUAUGUUGGCUGAUGUAAAGAAGAAUGAUGCACUUGGUCAGCAAGCUACUGCGACUACAGGCGGAUAUAAGCUUGUGAUCUCUGUAUCAGAGCCUAGGAAAAUUGCAUCUCCUACCAUCACAAACAUUCAGGUAAUGCAUUGAAUUUAAUAAUUCCC